rnacentral:rRNA from 1 species
CCUACGGGUGGCUGCAGUGGGGAAUAUUGGGCAAUGGGCGCAAGCCUGACCCAGCAACGCCGCGUGAAGGAAGAAGGCUUUCGGGUUGUAAACUUCUUUUGACAGGGAAGAGUAGAAGACGGUACCUGUCGAAUAAGGACCGGCUAAUUCCGUGCCAGCAGCCGCGGUAAUACGGAAGGUCCGGGCGUUAUCCGGAUUUAUUGGGUUUAAAGGGAGCGUAGGCCGCAUGUCAAGCGUGCUGUGAAAUGUCCGGGCUCAACCCGGGCCUUGCAGCGCGAACUGGCGUGCUUGAGUCCGCGGAAAGCAGGCGGAAUUCGUCGUGUAGCGGUGAAAUGCUUAGAUAUGACGAAGAACCCCGAUUGCGAAGGCAGCUUGCUGCAGCGGAACUGACGCUGAUGCUCGAAAGCGCGGGUAUCGAACAGGAUUAGAUACCCCAGUAGUC